rnacentral:rRNA from 1 species
UGUUUCGGCUAGGGGGCCAUCCCGGCUUACCAACCCGAUGCAAACUGCGAAUACCGGAGAAUGUUAUCACGGGAGACACACGGCGGGUGCUAACGUCCGUCGUGAAGAGGGAAACAACCCAGACCGCCAGCUAAGGUCCCAAAGUCAUGGUUAAGUGGGAAACGAUGUGGGAAGGCCCAGACAGCCAGGAUGUUGGCUUAGAAGCAGCCAUCAUUUAAAGAAAGCGUAAUAGCUCACUGGUCGAGUCGGCCUGCGCGGAAGAUGUAACGGGGCUAAACCAUGCACCGAAGCUGCGGCAGCGAACGUAUCACUUAAAGCGAUUCAGCGGGUUACGAUUGACGGAGCGAAGCGACGUCAAAGCGUAUACAAAGUCGAGUCGGUUUAAGGAUACGUUCGUUGGGUAGGGGAGCGUUCUGUAAGCCUGUGAAGGUGUGUCGUGAGGCAUGCUGGAGGUA